AGUGAACGCUGGCGGCAGGCCUAAUACAUGCAAGUCGAACGGCAGCACAGCAGAGCUUGCUCUGUGGGUGGCGAGUGGCGGACGGGUGAGGAAUACAUGGGAAUCUGCCCAGUCGUGGGGAUAACGUAGGGAAACUUACGCUAAUACCGCAUGCGCCCUUCGGGGGAAAGCCGGGGACCUUCGGGCCUGGCGCGAUUGGAUGAGCCCAUGUCGGAUUAGCUAGUUGGCGGGUAAUGGCCCACCAAGGCGACGAUCCGUAGCUGGUCUGAGAGGAUGAUCAGCCACACUGGAACUGAGACACGGUCCAGACUCCUACGGGAGGCAGCAGUAGGGAAUAUUGGACAAAUGGGCGCAAGCCUGAUCCAGCCAUGCCGCGUGAGUGAAGAAGGCCCUCGGGUUGUAAAGCUCUUUUGUCCGGAAAGAAAAGCGCCGGGUUAAUACCCUGGUGUCCUGACGGUACCGGAAGAAUAAGCACCGGCUAAACUUCGUGCCAGCAGCCGCGGUAA
rnacentral:rRNA from 1 species